rnacentral:rRNA from 1 species
UACAGAGGUCCCAAGCGUUGUUCGGAUUCACUGGGCGUAAAGGGUGCGUAGGCGGUCGGGCAAGUCUGAUGUGAAAUCUCACAGCUUAACUGUGAAACUGCAUUGGAUACUAUCCGGCUAGAGGAAUGGAGAGGAGACUGGAAUUUACGGUGUAGCAGUGAAAUGCGUAGAGAUCGUAAGGAAGACCAGUGGCGAAGGCGGGUCUCUGGACAGUUCCUGACACUGAGGCACGAAGGCCAGGGGAGCAAACGGG